UUACUUCUUAGUAGCGAAGUUAACGCGUUAAGUUCUCCGCCUGGGGAGUAUGGCCGCAAGGUUAAAACUCAAAGAAAUUGACGGGGGCCCGCACAAGCGGUGGAGCAUGUGGUUUAAUUCGAUGCAACGCGAAAAACCUUACCUACCCUUGACAUCCUCGGAACUUGUCAGAGAUGAUUUGGUGCCUUCGGGAACCGAGAGACAGGUGCUGCAUGGCUGUCGUCAGCUCGUGUCGUGAGAUGUUGGGUUAAGUCCCGUAACGAGCGCAACCCUCGUCCUUAGUUGCCAGUGAGUCAUGUCGGGAACUCUAAGGAGACCGCCGGCGAUAAACCGGAGGAAGGUGGGGAUGAUGUCAAGUCAUCAUGGCCCUUACGGGUAGGGCUACACACGUGCUACAAUGGGCAGUACAAAGGGUUGCCAAGCCGCGAGGUGGAGCUAAUCCCAGAAAACUGCUCGUAGUCCGGAUUGGAGUCUGCAACUCGACUCCAUGAAGUUGGAAUCGCUAGUAAUCGCGAAUCAGCAUGUCGCGGUGAAUACGUUCUCGGGCCUUGUACACACCGCCCGUCACACCAUGGGAGU
rnacentral:rRNA from 1 species